UACGACCAUUUGCAGCGUACACCCCACGGCU
rnacentral:piRNA from 1 species